GCAUGGACUGAGGGAGGAGCCCCUUGAGAAUCUCACUUCUGUCCCCAUAAGUGUGCAACCAGGAGUGGCCGCAGCCUCUCCGAGCCUGGAAUUCUCCACCUGGAACAGGGUCUGUGAAGAGCUGGGCUGGCUUAGGGAGAGGACACGACUGCACCUGGUAGGACAGCCUCCUUGGUCAGGGCGGCACCUCCGUCCUGGGCUAUCACCAGGUGGUGGUGGGCUGCAGGAGCUGCGGAGCAGGGACAGGCUGGGAGCCCUGCUGAAGGAGAGGUGUCCUCCAAAGAUGACCAAGGCUGGGCAUCUGGCUCUAGGCAGGACUCCCAACCUUGCACCCCAAGUGGGCUACAGGUCAGUGGAGCUGCUGAUCCCACCUGGCCUGAGACUGGGCAGACCCCAGCAGGAGCCUCGGGGACCCCCAGCUCUCUGUGUGACUGGGAACAGGAUUCACGUUUCCAGGACGCUCUACCCAGGGUCUUUAAACACAAGUGAAUCUGUCCUCAGUGUUUACAGCCAGCCCUGAUGACCAGCAGAGGCCCCUCCCCAGACGGGAGCUGUGGCCCUGGCCUCUACUCUCCAGCCGGAGAAGAGGAGCCGUCUUGAAGCUUAGAAAGCAGCUGAGGUGGGGUGUGUGAGCCGAAGAGCAGAGGACACCUGCAGAGCAGCUUGUGGCCUGGGGCUCGGAAUCGGCUGUGCUGCGAGUGUUUGCACCACGGGAACUGGCAGACGCUGCACAUCAAAGCCGGGUCACUGCCCACCCACGGCCCUGGCCUCCUGGGUCCCCACGUGCUCACCCCGGGGCUGCAUUUUGAGCACCUCGGACUGGAAGGGCUGCUUAUGAGCACAGCGCGUGGUCGACCCUCGCUGCAGGAGUCACGUGAAUACACGAAAACCAAGAAGAACUAAACAGCUGGGGCCGUGUUUAUCCCUCACGUCUUUACUUCUGCUGUCAGCACUCCCCAGGGCAGGGAGCAGCCCCUUCCCACAGUGCCCCCUGCAGAGAACACAUCCCAGGAACCCACACUGCAGCAGGGGCGAGCACGGCCGCCCGCCUUCCUCCGACACCGCGAGGGCCUCCACGCAAGUCCCGAGCGGUCCGUGUGUGUGCAGGGAGGCCAGGCGCCGGCGCUCUCUGACUGCUGUAGAUUUGUAUGGAGCUGCCUGGAGCCUCCUGGGCCUGAGCGUUCCUGCGCCCUGGCCCCCAGGGAGAGGCUCCUCACUCCCGGCUCACGCAGCUCCUGGAAGUUGUCUCUGAUCUGGACCCCGCUCCAGGCCACACUCUGGCUGGGCGCCAGGUUUGGGGCUGAUCACUUGAGAUUCCAAGGGCCCUGGGUUAGAGUCUGCUCCAGGGCGUGGGGAGGAGGAAGGUGCCGGCCGCCCAGAUCCCACUGUCUCAUCUGGGCCUGAGGCUUCGGCCCUCAGAGCUCCUGCUUCCCACUGCUCAGAGAGUGUGAGAAGCGCCUGCCCAGCCGGAGCUCAGUGAGGACCAGCUCUGGCUUCCUUCAUUUCAAUCACGUCUUUCCAGGGACCUCCGAUUUUGAUGCGCACCAGGGCUCCCUGGGCCUCUCUUAGAGGAGGGUGUUACUGGCUUAUUUUCUGCCAACAGGAGCAAAGGAUGAGGCAACAGGUGGACAUGAGUUGGGGGGCUGGAGGGUCAGAGACCUGUGGUCAAGACUGUAUCCACCUCGUGACCCGAUGGGAACAGGCAAGUCUGGGGAACUGUAAGAAAUCACUCCGGCCUUGUCAUGUGCGCCGAGUGGGGGCCAGUCCCCCAGUGGAGGCCCUCCCUGCGGGUUCCUCUGCUCUUACCUGCGCCCCUCCUUCCUUCCUGGAGCACCCCUGCCCGAGCCUGUCCUGGCCCCAUUUUAAUCCACGCUGCUUCCUCCUUUGGAUCUCCAGCCAUCAGGGAGGCCCCUCUCAAGGGCCUGCUGAGCUCCACCACCCCCUCCUCCUGCAGAAGACACCUCUUUCACCCGCCCCAAAGACCAGGCAGCCUCCCUCUGGGUCUUUCCUGCAUCCCCUCAUUCCAGAGGGCUCCCAAGGGCAGAGGCAGCUUGAAGUGAGAGUCUGUGGACGGCAGGCCUGCCUCGGGAGAAGCACACACAGCCUCUGCUGGACUUGGAGGGUCCCAGCCACCCAUGGGCAGUCACCAUUCUCCAGCCUGGGGCAUGCUGAUCACGGCUGGGAGAUGGUGCCACAGAAGGCCCAGAAGAGGUCCUAGCCCAGGCUGCUGGGUGCCUGGCCUGACUGCUUGGGGAGGGGCAGCCCCUGUGGGCCCCUGGAGGGCCUCUUCUGUGCCAGUGCCCCCACAGCACACACCGCCCAGGAAUCCCAGGCCCCGGGUCAGGAGGGUGACCACUGCCUGCUUGCACCAGACUGAGGAGUGAGGUCUUGGAGCCUUUGCUUCCUGGCCCAUGGCUGACCGACCCCUCUGCCAGGAACAAGCACGCCGGCCUCUGCAGCGUGGGCCGGGAUAGCAGCCCUGGCAGAACGCUUCUGGAUUGGAUCUUUGUGUCCCUGAUCUGGCGGCUCCCAGACCACACUGAGGGUGUCAGACACACUCAGGUCUCCAUACCCCUUGGGGAGCUAUGGCGGCACCCCAUCUGUCUGUUUCCGGUGUAAAGGGGAGUCCACAGCUCCUGGAACCUGCCGGCCGCUUCAGGUGGUUGAGCCUGACCUUCCAGUUGGUACUGAGAGGUCCUUGGCUCUCACCCCCACCCCCACCCCCACUGCCACCAAAGAACCUGUGGUUACCUCAACCUCAGGCCAUGUGGCAGGGACCCCAGGGCCGGCCCUUCCCACCAGGCCCAGUUGCAAAGGCAGGGGUGGACCCCAACCCUACAGAAAGCAGGGACCUGCGCCUUCCAGAUGGCUCCCCCACUGCCCCAAAGCACUUGACUGGUCAGACCGUGGGCCCGAGAAACAGAUGCCCCACUUAGCCAGUGCACGGCUUUCCAGGAAAGAGCAGCCAGCGGCCCCUCCGUUCCUCUGAGGACAGCGGGAAGAGCGUAGCCCUUUGUCAAUUCCUUUCUUUCCCCAGCACGUGAUAGAGCCACGCCUCGAUGCUCAGCAUUGAUAGGGAGGACAGAAGUGCCCGGCAGGCUCCUUCCCCACCCGCAGCACCGGCCUCCAGCCCGGCUCUGGCCCUGCUAGUCAUGACCAUCACAGCCCAGGCAGGGAAGGGACGUCAGGGCCCAGGGACCCUAGGACUCCCGGUGGGAAGAGGCCUCAAAUCAGCCAGGGCCUUAGGAUGCUUGUGGUGGGUUAUGAGUUUAGCAUUUCCCUUUGAACAGUCAUGGAUUGGUUUUCUUGUGUAUUAGAAAAAAACGUAGGGCGUAAAGACCAAGAUGAGGGGUUCUGGAGUUUUUGGUGGAGGCUGAGUUCCUCGUCAGCCAGAGCCGGCUGAAUGAGAAAACCGAAUGGCACCUCGGGCGUGGCUGAGAGCCUGCUGUGUCUGGGGAGUGGCUGCGGCCGGAGGCCAUGCUCCUGCCCGCGGUUGUGGUCAGCUUGCUGUCUCUGGAAGGGGCCUCCUGGUCUCUGGCCUCAAAGUGCAGAAGCAGCCACAGACGUGGAGGGGUGUGUUUGGCUUGUGCCAAUUACACUGUGUUUAUGGACCCGGAGAUGGGAGUUCCGUGUAACUCUCAUGUGUCACAAAACCUUUUUUUUUUCCCCCUACCAUCUAUAAAUGUUAGAAUCAUUCCCAGCCUGUGGUCAGACACAGUCAGGCUGAACUUGGCCACGACUGCAGGCCCACAGACCCAGGACGCUGAAGAAGCUUGCUGGGCGAGAGCACGUGGCAUUGGGCAUCGGGGCCUGGGCUGGAACUCCUGUCCCUACCUUGGGGCCCUUGAGGGUCUUGGGGGCAUGGUGGACACUGGGUGUGGUUCCCGCCAGCCAUAUCCCAGCCCCUUCCUGCCCCCAUGGCAUCAGUGGGGGGCCUGUUGCCUCUGGGGCUGGAGGGAUCCAGGCUGGGCCACCAUGCAGGCUGUGGGAUGCUGUGUGGCCAGGCCGGGCCCAGGAGGAGUUCCACCUGUCCGAGUAGAGAAAGAGGCCCCACCCAGAGAGAAACAGAGUGGAUAGCAGCAGGGGGCUGGGUCACUGAAGGCCCCAAGCCCAGCUUCUCCAGGGACUCUCAAACUUCCAUUUUUGCUUAAAGUUAUUUCAAGUUCAGGUCUUGUUUCCUGCAACUCUCAAAAUCCUGAAGCUCCACGAGUUUUCCCUCGGCUCCCAGAGGAGACCCUGGAGGACCCAGCCAGGCUCACUGCAAAACAGCUCCUGGGAGCUCAUGGCCCAGCAGGACGGGGUCCCAGCCCGCAGCGAGGAAUCUGGGCCCGAGGGCAGGGCCCACACGCCUGGGAGAGCAGGUGACAUACCCAGAAACCCACCGCCUUGGACCUGCCCUGGGCAGCCCCGAGACGAUCAGGGCGGCACAGACUGCGUUUCCCUGUGAGAAGCCUCCUCUCCCCGCUGCCAGUCACGUCCCAAUCUGCUUUUGACCUGUCCGGGGCGCCACGGCCCCGCCCGGGAACUGGCUGCUGAGCCAAGAUGAGCCUGAGGGGCCGGCAGUUGUGCCAGAAUAUUCCAAAGGCCCAGAGGCUGUCACAGACAGUGACGUGUGAUAAAAAUCCCCAAAUGUCCCAGGACAGGAAGCCAGUUUAACCCUUCCCGUUUCCCUGCCUGCAGCUGCUGUGGAAACACAAUCAUUGCAUAAGCAGGAGCUUACCGGUGUCCUGCUGGAAGCCGUGCGUGUGGCUGACAAGAGACUGACACACCCCUUGGCAAGCAGCGGCUGGCAGAGACCUGAAUAAAGACCAGUGUCUUGGAUUCCAGCACAGGCUCUAAGGGGGCGCUUGCUUCUUAAGGGGUCCAGGGGCUGAAGCUGGAGGAGGAGGCAGCCGGCUCCCGGGGGAGGGCGGAGGGCAGCCAGCACAUCCCCCAAGGCCCUGUCCAAGCUCAACCUAGGAGGCUGGAGCUGCAGCCUCUGUCCCCUGCACUACCCUUGGGAAGGGGCUCCCGUGGAAGGGUUGGCUGUGCCACCAGAAGCUGGGCCUGCUGCUCAUUUCCAUGGCCCUGGUGGCCUUCAUGGAGGAAAGCCAUUGUGUGCAAAGGAAGGAAGUCUGUGUACCCUGACGGCGGGCUGUCUACUGGUACCUGGUCCAGCAUCUCUCCGGUGAAGCCUGGGUGGUGCCAGGGCUUGAAAGCCCCUCCCCUGGAGAGCUCCCCUGUUGGUUCUGACUUGCUGUCCUUCGCAGGCAGAAUCGGCUUUGGGGCUGGGAGCCACCCCGGGACCUGGCUCCCAAGGACACUGGCUGAGCCCGGUAGCGGGUGAAGGCUCAGGCCCCCGGGGCAGCUCCCGGACCGGCAAGGGAGAAGACAGGUGAGAUCUGCAGGAUGGAUUUGUUCCCACUCUUGGAAUUCAUGAUCACUUUGCUCCUGAGCCCCCAGGAAUCAGCAAGAGUGUCCCCCCCGAAUUAACAUGCAGAUUAUUUGUAUUGUUAAACGGCGCCAAUUAUUACUUGGAGAAAAUCUGGCACUUCGGUGAACAAAAGGACAUGGGGCGGUUUCUGGACAAAGCCAGAUUUUAUAGUACUCAGAAGAAUGAGGUCCAGCCGCAGGCCUCACCUCCCUCCUCGGGGCUUGCGGCCCAGCCUGCCCCUGGCAGUGCCAGCAGCUUAUCCGCCGGUCCCCAAGGCGAGCUGUUCCCUUCACACCAGGGCUCGCCUCUCCUUUCUUUGAGAAACGGGAACCUGGAUGGAUCCAUCUCAGGGGGAAUCCCCCGGAAGUGAAGCCUGAGGGCAGAGCGCUUGUGAAAGUGAUUUAUUGGGGGAACAGUUGCGGUUUUAUGGGGUGAACUGCGUCCCUCAAAUUCUCUUGCUAACCCCCAAUACCCCAGAAUGUGACUGCUGUUGAGACAAGGUCUUUCAAGAGCUGAUUAAGGUAAAUGAGGUCAUGAGGGUGCCUGGUCCAGUAUGACUGGCAUCCUUAUAAGAACACGGGACGCCAGGGGCCUGCGUGCCCACAGGGGCAGCCCCAAGACCAGGCAGCAGGGCCGGGUAAAGCAGCACUGGGGGCCUGGACCCCGGACUUCCAGUCUCCAGAUGGUGAGAAGUCAGGUCUGCUGUCGAAGGCCUCAGGGUGCGAUAUUUCAAUUUAGCGGCCUGAGCCAACUGAGGCCAGGGGAACGGGCUGGCAGCCAGGGAAGACAGCGAAGCCAAGAUGUGGGCGGGAGGGAAGCUGCACGUCAGGCGGGACCCCUCCUGAAGACUCACAGCUGUGAGCCCCUAGCAGCAGUGGGUGAUGAGUCCUGGGAGAGGGUGGGAAUGGAGACUCUGACAGCACCUGCCCCUCCGCCCUGGACACUCAGCCAGCAAGAUCAAUGCAGAACUCACAGAACAGCCUCCACCCAUCACUGAGCAGCCAGUGCCCGGCAGAAUUAUCUCAGCAUCUGGACGGUGGCACCACGGGGACCUCGGGCUGCAGAGGACAGGCCAGCCUGCGAGUGGACAUGGUGCCCGACCUCAUGGCACCGUCAGCGAAGCCAAGAACAACUCCUGCCCUGCCCGGCUUCCCUGAGGCCCCGUGUCCUCGGAGUGAGUCUCACGGCUCCGGGCUCGCUGGCUUCUAAGUCCCGUCCUUCUGUCCUUCAGUCUCGGCCUCAGCCUUUACUCUUACGUCUCUCAGGGAGAAAAAUAAACCUCUAUAGCUGGCAUUUGCAAAA